AUGCUUGAUCUCAAUGAGUUGCCUCCUGAUCUCAAUGAGCUUCCUCAUGAUAUGGAUCAGCAGCAACCCAUCAUACAACAAGGAAAUUGGACAGAAAAUGGGCGAUCUGUUUACUACACGCAGGAAAGUCGUGGUGGUAACCCUAUGGGCCAUGACAAUGUGGCAGGCCAGUCAUCAACCCGUGGUGCCCCUGUAGUGGUGUCUUUGCAGUCAGAGAGCCAUACUCUUGAUGACACGGGAACCGCGGCAAAUGUUCCUGGUCCAACCAGGACUGAGCUAGGAGCUGGGGCUAUUGACGGGGUUGUGCAAGGAGAAGAAGGAGAGGAUGAGGCUGGUUCUCAACCUAUAGAACCCUAUGUUGGCAUGAGGUUUGACAGCCUUCAAAUUGCUAAGGAUCACUACAACAGCUACGCACUACGGAUGGUUUUCUCUGUCAAGAUGAACACCUCUAGGCGGACAUCCCACACCAAUGUAUUGGUAAAACAACAGUUUUGCUUCAACAAGUUCAAGAAGCCCAAAGCUGAUGAUGGAGGAGCUGAGGCUCCUCCUGUCCUGGACCCUAUUCCAGAUCCAAAAACUAUUGACAGUGAUGAGGAAAUGGAAGAUGAACCUCCAAUCUUUGCUGAAGAGGAGGCUGGUCCUAGUAAGAAGAAGAAGAAACGGAAACGCGAGACAAUAAAGCAGACUCAAUGCAAGGCGAAAAUGUUGGUGAAGCUGAUAGAUGCGCGAUGGGAGGUGACGCACUUUGUUCGUGACCACAAUCAUCCGCUCGUGAACAAACCUUCAUUGUCCAAAUACUUGAGAUCCCACCAAGGCAUCUCACCUGAUGGAAAGGCGUUUUUGCGCAUCUUGUAUAACUGCAACUUGACUACAGGACGUAUGAUGCAUAUAAUGGCAGAGUUCUACGGAUCUGAGAUGAUGGUGCCGUUCGGACCAAAGACAAUAACAAAUGUGUGUACAAGUUUCCAUAGAGAUGACACAAAGGAGGGUGACAUGAUUGAGACAAUUGCGCACUUCAAGGAUAGACAGAAAAACGAUCCAGACUUCUUCUAUAAGGUAAAAUAUGAUGAAGAGGACAGAGUUGUCAACAUAUUUUGGAUGGAUGGCUUAGCUCGAAAAGCUUAUGCUGAGGCGUACCACGAUUGCAUAUCGUUUGACACUACCUACAUGACCAAGAUGUAUAAUAUGCCGUUCACACCCUUCAUUGGAAUAAACCGACAUGGCCAAUCUUUCAUCCUCGGUUGCACGUUUGUGAGGCAGGAGUUGGCAUCAAGCUUUGAUUGGGUCUUCCAAACAUUCCUAGAGGCUAUGGGUGGCAAACCUCCUGACACCUUCAUAACCGAUCAAGAUGGUGCAAUGAGGCAGUCAAUACAGAGCAUCUUUCCAACCACCGUGCAUCAAUGUUGUCAGGACCCCGAUUCUAAGUCACACCGAUCUAGCCUGUAA
rnacentral:rRNA from 1 species